UCCUCCAUAUUGAGGUUGCGAUUCACAAUUCGUAAUUAUUGUAAUUUUUAUUGUUGGGAAAAUGAUCUUCAUACUUGUGUUUUUGAAUGUGAACAACACACAUUAAUUCUUUAGUUAACAGGUGCUAAAAAUACGACUUUUGCUUAACUGUAAAUAACGCGUAGGCUAUGCAAUGGCUUGCUAACUAUUAACGUCUACGCGCCGUGCAAACGAGAAAGGCAAAGUUGUCAGACAUUUUCAUGUUGAUCACAACACAAUAGCAUCUCUCUGAUGACGUUAUCGACAAAGGGGAAACAAUGUUUUACUGUACUAAAUUCUGACAUCCAUGUCAAACCUAAUGACAAUACUCGAUGGUGAGCGCUCGGGGCAUUGGAUCCCCAGAGAUAGGGAGUUCCAGGUUGUUCCGUGUGCAGAGAAACGGAAUAGUGAACGUAUUGAAGAUGCACCAGCAACCCCAUGACGAAUGAGAUCGUCAACGGAGCAGCAGUAGGCACUUUAUUGUGCCAUGUAACACUGGCAUGAACGGAUUAUUUGUCAGAGCGAAUAUCGUGUAAUUGAGGGUGAAGACGUGAUAUGUCGUCCAUCUAAUAAUUCACGUCAUCCUUGAAAUAAAAUAUUUUGCAAAUACUUAACAGCUACUUUGUCACAACAACAGUAAUUAAUUGAAAACUUGUGUGUUGAAAAUACAAUUUAUUCUGUUACAGCAAUUGAAGCUAUCUUAUGGCUACCUAUAGUUGUAGCAGGAGCUGUUAUUAUCAUCAUCAUUAUCACUAUCGGUUGCUGCUACCGCCGCUGUAGAAAACAGGUGCCAGCAUCAGCAGACACUCAUACACAUGAUGACUUGGUUGUACCUGUGUCACAAGGAAAACGGAAGGUAGCAGUCGUAUAUCCCCCUUCUGAGGACGCUGUGCACCAGGUUGAGGACAAUGUUGUAGUCGGCCCUGGAGGAUCUGCUUCUGGUAAUGAUCAACAAGGACCCGGACUGCGUAGUAAUCCUGCGUACGUCCCAACUACUGCAGGUGACAGAAUAGUCACAACAGGGACAUUGGCAGGGACAGGUGUGAUGGGUGGCGAUAACCUACAUCCUGAAACGAGAGGAGAAUAUGUUGCUCUUGAUAGGAAUGCUGUCCAACCCUCAAACAUCUAUGAACAUCUGACAACAUAUGAAGUAAUUGGCAACAUGUGAAGUAACAACUUGAAAGGAAACGGCCGUCUUUACAUUACACAUAUAAGGCCCACAUGAAUAAAUUCUCACCUUGUUUGUGCUACGAGAAAAUAAGGAAGAGAAUUUAUGAAUGUCAACUUGUGUAUACGAGUACUUACUCCUUCAUCAGGUAAAGAAAAUGCUUACGUACUUACUU